UGGGGAAUCUUAGACAAUGGGGGAAACCCUGAUCUAGCCAUGCCGCGUGAGCGAUGAAGGCCUUAGGGUUGUAAAGCUCUUUCAGCUGGGAAGAUAAUGACGGUACCAGCAGAAGAAGCCCCGGCUAACUCCGUGCCAGCAGCCGCGGUAAUACGGAGGGGGCUAGCGUUGUUCGGAAUUACUGGGCGUAAAGCGCGCGUAGGCGGAUUUAGUCAGUCAGAGGUGAAAUCCCAGGGCUCAACCCUGGAACUGCCUUUGAUACUGCUAGUCUUGAGGUCGAGAGAGGUGAGUGGAAUUCCGAGUGUAGAGGUGAAAUUCGUAGAUAUUCGGAGGAACACCAGUGGCGAAGGCGGCUCACUGGCUCGAUACUGACGCUGAGGUGCGAAAGCGUGGGGAGCAAAACAGGAUUAGAUACCCUGGUAGUCCACGCCGUAAACGAUGAUGCCA
rnacentral:rRNA from 1 species